rnacentral:misc_RNA from 1 species
GGAGCUGCAGCUUAAGGGUGCUGGAAAGACCCCAUAUAGUCGUUUUGCUGAUGGUCUUGCAGUGCUUCGUAGUAGCAUCCGAGAAUUCCUUUGUAGUGAAGCAAUGCACGGUCUUGGAAUCCCAACAACACGAGCACUUUGUCUAGUGACGACGGGAAAAGAUGUUAUGAGGGAUAUGUUUUAUGAUGGAAAUCCCAAAGAUGAACCUGGUGCAAUUGUCUGCAGAGUUGCUCAAUCGUUUCUGCGUUUUGGUUCUUAUCAACUGCAUGCCUCUAGAGGAAAAAAGGAUUUUGAGCUUGUCCGUGCUUUGGCAGACUAUGCCAUUAGAUAUCACUUCCCCCAUUUGGAGAAUAUGACUAGGAGUGAAAGCAUAUCAGCUAACACAGACGUGGAUUUAACUUCAAACAAGUAUGCAGCUUGGGCAGUGGAAGUUGCUGAGAGGACUGCGUCCAUGAUUGCCAGGUGGCAGGAUGUUGGUUUCACACAUGGAGUCAUGAACACUGAUAAUAUGAGCGUGUUAGGACUCACUAUUGACUAUGGUCCCUUUGGCUUUUUAGAUUCUUUUGAUCCCAGUUACACACCAAAUACCACUGAUCUUCCUGGCAGAAGAUAUUGUUUUGCAAAUCAGCCAGAUGUAGGUUUAUGGAAUAUUGCGCAGUUUACCUCUGCUCUAUCUACUGCCGAGUUGCUUAGUGAUAAAGAGGCAGAUUAUGCUAUGGAAAGAUAUGGUAACAAAUUCAUGGAUGAUUAUCAAGAUAUCAUGACCAGGAAACUUGGUCUGACAAAGUACAAUAAAAAGU